rnacentral:rRNA from 1 species
GAUGAACGCUGGCGGCGUGCUUAACACAUGCAAGUCGAACGAUGAAGCUCAGCUUGCUGGGUGGAUUAGUGGCGAACGGGUGAGUAACACGUGAGUAACCUGCCCUUAACUCUGGGAUAAGCCUGGGAAACUAGGUCUAAUACCGGAUAGGAGCGUCCACCGCAUGGUGGGUGUUGGAAAGAUUUAUCGGUUUUGGAUGGACUCGCGGCCUAUCAGCUUGUUGGUGAGGUAAUGGCUCACCAAGGCGACGACGGGUAGCCGGCCUGAGAGGGUGACCGGCCACACUGGGACUGAGACACGGCCCAGACUCCUACGGGAGGCAGCAGUGGGGAAUAUUGCACAAUGGGCGAAAGCCUGAUGCAGCGACGCCGCGUGAGGGAUGACGGCCUUCGGGUUGUAAACCUCGUUCAGUAGGGAAGAAGCGAAAGUGACGGUACCUGCAGAAGAAGCACCGGCUAACUACG